AGGAGAACACAGGGAGGGGGGUGAGCAGAAGCGGAGAUGAGGAGAAAACAGGGAGGGGGGGUGAGGAGCUCUAAGCAGUAUUUGCACUGUAAACCUUUUUUAUUUAUAUAAAGUGUGGGUGAACUUAAACUGUAUGGCUAUGCUGUGGUUCCUGUAGGCUUUGCGUGCGUGGGGGGACCUCCAUGUCCAUUUUGCUUGGGGCCCCCAAAUUCCUAAAACUGCCCUGUAUAUAUAUAUAUAUAUAUAUAUAUUGUUACCAAAGCAAGGAAUUGUGCAGGAUGGAGUCUAUAUUUCUCCCCAGAUUCUGCAAGGUUCCUACUUUAUGUAAUGCUGAAGAUUAGCCCCAGGGAAAUGUUUUGUUUUAAAAUUAAUAUUGCACUUUAUAUUAGUGUGUGUUUGGGCCAUGGGAUGAAGCACUUGGAGAGUAGUGUGGGUCAGUACUCCACUCCAUAUUUUGAAAGUUUGCAUUGAAAGUGCAGGUGAGGAGUCCAGUUCCAGGUUUCAACACUCUGAUUUACCUCACCUGAAAAAUUUCAUAGUUAACAUAGUUAAAAUCGUUAAUUGCAGGUGCUUUUAAGUACUCCCCUGCCAAAGAAGGAGGAGAGAUGGUGUUUGAUUCCUGUGAGUUGAAAGAGAAAACUGAGAGAACCUAAAACCGUAACGUGGAUAUUUGUUUAUGUUGGGAAAUGGACAAGACAUCCAGUUAGUUUAUUAUUUUGUUAAGUUAGUGCUCAGAAGAGCAAGGAUUUUUUAUUUUUUUUGUUAUACUUAACUGCACAUUGUUGAAUUUUGGAACUACAAUAAUUUUACAUCAUCCAGUGUGUGAAGUGUCUCUGAAUCCUGAAAAGACUAUGUAACAUCCUAAUCCCAGGAUAAGGUACCAAAGGGGG